UGAGGAAUAUUGGUCAAUGGGCGCUAGCCUGAACCAGCCAUGCCGCGUGCAGGAAGACGGCCCUACGGGUUGUAAACUGCUUUUCUGUGGGAAGAACCGCCCUCAUUCGUUGUGGGUUUGACGGUACCACAGGAACAAGCAUCGGCUAACUCCGUGCCAGCAGCCGCGGUAAUACGGAGGAUGCAAGCGUUAUCCGGAUUCAUUGGGUUUAAAGGGUGCGUAGGCGGUGUAGCAAGUCAGUGGUGAAAGCCCGGAGCUUAACUCCGGGAUUGCCAUUGAAACUGUUGCACUAGAGUGUAGUCGAGGACGGCGGAAUGAGUUGUGUAGCGGUGAAAUGCAUAGAUAUAACUCAGAACACCGAUUGCGAAGGCAGCUGUCUAGGCUAUAACUGACGCUGAGGCACGAAAGCGUGGGGAGCGAACA
rnacentral:rRNA from 1 species